rnacentral:rRNA from 1 species
GAUCAUGGCUCAGGAUGAACGCUGGCGGCGUGCUUAACACAUGCAAGUCGAACGGGAAACCUUUUAUUGAAGCUUCGGCAGAUUUAACUGGUUUCUAGUGGCGGACGGGUGAGUAACGCGUGGGUAACCUGCCUUGUACAGGGGGGAUAACAGUCAGAAAAUGACUGCUAAUACCGCAUAAGCGCACAGGACCGCAUGGUCCGGUGUGAAAAACUCCGGUGGUAUAAGAUGGACCCGCGUUGGAUUAGCUAGUUGG